rnacentral:tRNA from 1 species
UCCCUUGUGGCUCAGUUGGUAAAGAAUUUGCCUGCAAUGCAGGAGACCUGGGUUAAAUCCCUGCAUUGGGA